AUUGAACGCUGGCGGCAUGCCUUACACAUGCAAGUCGAACGGUAACAGGUCUUCGGAUGCUGACGAGUGGCGAACGGGUGAGUAAUACAUCGGAACGUGCCUAGUAGUGGGGGAUAACUACUCGAAAGAGUGGCUAAUACCGCAUGAGAUCUACGGAUGAAAGCAGGGGAUCGCAAGACCUUGUGCUACUAGAGCGGCCGAUGGCAGAUUAGGUAGUUGGUGGGAUAAAAGCUUACCAAGCCGACGAUCUGUAGCUGGUCUGAGAGGACGAUCAGCCACACUGGGACUGAGACACGGCCCAGACUCCUACGGGAGGCAGCAGUGGGGAAUUUUGGACAAUGGGCGCAAGCCUGAUUCUGCAAUGCCGCGUGCAGGAUGAAGGCCUUCGGGUUGUAAACUGCUUUUGUACGGAACGAAAAGCCCUGGGUUAAUACCCUGGGGUCAUGACGGUACCGUAAGAAUAAGCACCGGCUAACUACGUGCCAGCAGCCGCAGUAAAAC
rnacentral:rRNA from 1 species